GCCCUUAGAGUUUGAUCCUGGCUCAGAACGAACGCUGGCGGCAGGCUUAACACAUGCAAGUCGAACGAGAAGCUUCUUCGGAAGUGGAAAGUGGCAGACGGGUGAGUAACGCGUGGGAAUCUGCCCAGAGGUUCGGGACAACCAUUGGAAACGAUGGCUAAUACCGGAUAAGCCCGCAAGGGGAAAGAUUUAUCGCCUUUGGAUGAGCCCGCGUAAGAUUAGCUAGUUGGUGGGGUAAAAGCCUACCAAGGCUACGAUCUUUAGCUGGUCUGAGAGGAUGAUCAGCCACAUUGGGACUGAGACACGGCCCAGACUCCUACGGGAGGCAGCAGUGGGGAAUAUUGCGCAAUGGGGGAAACCCUGACGCAGCCAUGCCGCGUGAGUGACGAAGGCCUUAGGGUUGUAAAGCUCUUUCGCUAGGGAAGAUAAUGACGGUACCUAGUAAAGAAGCCCCGGCUAACUCCGUGCCAGCAGCCGCGGUAAUACGGAGGGGGCUAGCGUUGUUCGGAAUCACUGGGCGUAAAGCGCGCGUAGGCGGACUGAUCAGUUGGGGGUGAAAGCCCGGAGCUCAACUCCGGAACUGCCUUCAAUACUGUCAGUCUUGAGGUCGAGAGAGGUAAGCGGAAUUCCGAGUGUAGAGGUGAAAUUCGUAGAUAUUCGG
rnacentral:rRNA from 1 species